rnacentral:lncRNA from 1 species
UAAAUUAUUUCAGUCUUCUUUCUUUUCCCUCCUUCCAAACCCUAAAAUUAUUUGACUUCCCUCCCAUCCACAGUUACGCAAGCGACGGUUUUGCAAGCGAUGAACAAGAUUUGCUUCUUUCAACAGAUGAAGAAAUCAAAAGUUUUAAUUUGGCUUCUUGAAGUAUUAUUUGCAUUCAGGAAUAUCCCUAAAUCAUAUGAUUUCUGAAUCUCUUGUAGGAUUUCAUUACUGAUUUCAUUACUGCAGAGGAAUUGUCUAGAGAUCACAGGGAUGCCUUCAUGAACACUUGUUUAUUUGGGCAGAGGAUAUGGUUGGAAGUAAGAAUGUUUACCAACAUUCUUGUAUUAUGUAGGAAGUCACACUUGUAGAGCUUGAUGGAGACAGAGAUUACCACAUGCCUGUUGAACUUGGAGGUAGUGGUGGAAUGGUAUGCUUAAAAUAUAUUUCCGUGUCUCUGUGUUAUGCAUUAUGUUUCGCUAGGCAAUUAUUUUAUUUAUCAAGUUACUAAUUUUAUAAGGCUUUAUUUCAACUAAUUUACAUGUUGAAGUUGAGAAAAACUAGUUGCUGGA